rnacentral:rRNA from 1 species
GUGUCAGCAGCCGCGGUAAUACGGAGGAUGCAAGCGUUAUCCGGAAUGAUUGGGCGUAAAGGGUCCGCAGGUGGUUUAUCAAGUCUGUUGUUAAAGAAUCUGGCUCAACUAGAUAAAGGCAAUGGAAACUGAGAGACUAGAGUGCAGUAGGGGUAGAGGGAAUUCCCAGUGUAGCGGUGAAAUGCGUAGAGAUUGGGAAGAACACCGGUGGCGAAAGCGCUCUGCUGGACUGCAACUGACACUGAGGGACGAAAGCUAGGGGAGCGAAUGGGAUUAGAAACCCUCGUAGUCC